rnacentral:rRNA from 1 species
UACGUAGGGGGCAAGCGUUGUCCGGAUUUAUUGGGCGUAAAGAGCUCGUAGGUGGUUUGUUACGUCUGCUGUGAAAACCUAGGGCUUAACCCUGGGCUUGCAGUGGAUACGGGCAGACGUAGAGGUAGGUAGGGGAGAAUGGAAUUCCUGGUGUAGCGGUGAAAUGCGCAGAUAUCAGGAGGAACACCGAUGGCGAAGGCAGGUCUCUGGGCCAUAACUGACGCUGAGAAGCGAAAGCAUGGGGAGCGAACAGG